UACGAAGGGGGCGAGCGUUGUUCGGAAUUACUGGGCGUAAAGGGCGCGUAGGCGGCCGAUCAAGUCAGAUGUGAAAGUCCUGGGCUUAACCUGGGGACUGCAUUUGAUACUGAUUGGCUUGAAUGCAGGAGAGGAUAGCGGAAUUCCCAGUGUAGAGGUGAAAUUCGUAGAUAUUGGGAAGAACACCGGUGGCGAAGGCGGCUAUCUGGACUGUGAUUGACGCUGAGGCGCGAAAGCGUGGGGGGCAAACAGG
rnacentral:rRNA from 1 species